CACGCCGUAAACGAUGAGUACUAGGUGUAGGAGGUAUCGACCCCUUCUGUGCCGCAGUAAACACAAUAAGUACUCCGCCUGGGAAGUACGAUCGCAAGAUUAAAACUCAAAGGAAUUGACGGGGGCCCGCACAAGCAGCGGAGCAUGUGGUUUAAUUCGAAGCAACGCGAAGAACCUUACCAGGUCUUGACAUCCCAGUGACCACUCUAGAGAUAGAGUUUUCCCUUCGGGGACAUUGGUGACAGGUGG
rnacentral:rRNA from 1 species